GCAAUCAUAGCGAGAAAAGAAAAUACAUGAUUUCCCUAGUAACGGCGAGUGAAGAGGAAAGAGCUCAAAGUUGGAAACUGUUUGGCUUAGCUAAACCGUAUUGUAAACUGUAGAAACAUUUUCCUGGCACACCAGAUUAAUAAGUCCUUUGGAACAAGGCAUCAUGGAGGGUGAGAAUCCCGUCUUUGAUCUGAGUAGUUGUCUUUUGUGAUAUGUUUUCAAAGAGUCAGGUUGUUUGGGAAUGCAGCCUAAAUUGGGUGGUAAAUCUCACCUAAAGCUAAAUAUUUGCGAGAGACCGAUAGCGAACAAGUACCGUGAGGGAAAGAUGAAAAGAACUUUGAAAAGAGAGUUAAACAGUAUGUGAAAUUGUUAAAAGGGAACCGUUUGGAGCCAGACUGGUUUGACUGUAAUCAACCUAGAAUUCGUUUUGGGUGCACUUGCAGUCUAUACCUGCCAACAACAGUUUGAUUUGGAGGAAAAAAUUAGUAGGAAUGUGGCCUUUCGAGGUGUUAUAGCCUACUAUCAUACUCUGGAUUGGACUGAGGAACGCAGCGAAUGCCAUUAGGCGAGAUUGCUGGGUGCUUUCGCUAAUAAAUGUUAGAAUUUCUGCUUCGGGUGGUGCUAAUGUUUAAAGGAGGAACACAUCUAGUAUAUUUUUUAUUCGCUUAGGUUGUUGGCUUAAUGACUCUAAAUGACCCGUCUUGAAACACGGACCAAGGAGUCCACCAUAAGUGCAAGUAUUUGAGUGACAAACUCAUAUGCGUAAGGAAACUGAUUGAUACGAAGUCUUACGAUGGCAGUAUCACCCGGCGUUGACGUUUUAUACUGAACUGACCGAGGUAAAGCACUUAUGAUGGGACCCGAAAGAUGGUGAACUAUGCCUGAAUAGGGUGAAGCCAGAGGAAACUCUGGUGGAGGCUCGUAGCGAUUCUGACGUGCAAAUCGAUCGUCAAAUUUGGGUAUAGGGGCGAAAGACUAAUCGAACCAUCUAGUAGCUGGGUUCUGCGA
rnacentral:rRNA from 1 species